rnacentral:rRNA from 1 species
GAUGAACGCUGGCGGCGUGCCUAAUACAUGCAAGUCGAGCGAACGGACGAGAAGCUUGCUUCUCUGAUGUUAGCGGCGGACGGGUGAGUAACACGUGGAUAACCUACCUAUAAGACUGGGAUAACUUCGGGAAACCGUAGCUAAUACCGGAUAAUAUUUUGAACCGCAUGGUUCAAAAGUGAAAGACGGUCUUGCUGUCACUUAUAGAUGGAUCCGCGCUGCAUUAGCUAGUUGGUAAGGUAACGGCUUACCAAGGCAACGAUGCAUAGCCGACCUGAGAGGGUGAUCGGCCACACUGGAACUGAGACACGGUCCAGACUCCUACGGGAGGCAGCGGUAGGGAAUCUUCCGCAAUGGCGAAAGCCUGACGGAGCAACGCCGCGUGAGUGAUGAAGGUCUUCGGAUCGUAAAACUCUGUUAUUAGGGAAGAACAUAUGUGUAAGUAACUGUGCACAUCUUGACGGUACCUAAUCAGAAAGCCACGGCUAACUACGUG